CUUCGGCAAAACGUUUAUUUUUUUUAAUAUCAAAUCAAUACAUAAAGCACAUGAGGGAACACAAGCAUACAUAGAUUAUAAACAAUAGAAAAUCGAGCUAGGGGGUACAAUAUCACAUUACAAUUACACAAGGACCUUAAGGGACAUGCAUAUACUUACAAUUCCAACAGCUUUUUUGUUAGUAGAGCAUUUAACCGUCUUAAAAUACAGUUCAAUUUAUUUUUGUAGGGUACGAAAAUUUGGUUUUCUGUUUGUAAAUUUACAUUUGUGUAUAUGAAAUUUGGCCAAAAGAAUAAUGAAAUUAAUUACGUAAAAAUGAUUGCGCUGCUUCGGCAAAACGUGUUAUCACGUACUGUACUGUCUUUGACGUUAUGGCUAUGUAUGACAUCAUGUAAUGUGAUACCGAAUUUUCCCACAAGGCAGCAGGGUGAUAGUAUAAAUACCAACGUCACCCCUUCAUGAAAUCCUCUUCCGCGCUUAACUCAACAGUGUAUGGUGUACAGUUCAUACUGUGCGGGCUACAAAAUGAUUAUGACGUACAACCUAACGUUACUUGAUCCUGAUGAAUGACUCAGCGAAAAUGGUUUACGAUCAGAUUAUGAGGAUCAAUCUGCUCGAUCCUGGAUGACUAUGGUGUACGAUCAGGUUAAAACCACCUUUAAGCUGACCUUGUUAAGGAAACCAGGACAUCCAGGAGCGUGGUUGUGCCUCAAGUUGUCGGAUGGUUGGAACCUCUAGUCGGACUCAUCAAUACAGUUGCCUACAUGGAAAAUUGGCUGAUCUUGCUGUUUUAGAGUUACAUCGCAAAAUGAGCCACAGGCCAAGGUUCCUGGAGGCUGUCAGACCAGUUGCGUUUGUAAUGUCCUUGGCGCCUCAAUAUAAACUGCGCAGGUAUGUUUCAUGUAUACAGAAGUGGCUUGUUUAAGUCUGUCACUGCCAUUGUUUCAGUGACCUGGUCCAUGUUUUUAUAUGUGGGGGUGAGCAAAUGAUGAUUCAGUUCUUGAACUCUCUCCCUGAGAUCUUGAUGACUACAAGAAUACUGAUCUUGCCCCAUUGACAUCCUAAUGGUUGACUGUAACUUCAUUUGGUUAACUUGUCUUCCUCUUCCCACAGGGUUUGGUCAUGAAGGUGCAAGGACAAUUACCACUGACCUGCAAUGUUCACUAUUUUAUUGUGCUGUCAAAAUAUACAUACUUAAACUGUAAAUGUAGUGUUAACUAUAGAUUGGUCAAUAAAGUAUACUCUAAGCAUUGGUUUCACUUGCUGUUGUCCAUAACAAUAAUGUCGUGUGUAUGUUAAUUUUGAACAGCCACGUGGUGGUUGACGGACAGGUGGGCAAUUUAAAUGUGCAGAGACGAUGGUGAGGCCAUUGUCCUGGCACUCAUCUGCAGCCAUAGCCUCGUUUCAGCAAUGCACAGUCUCAAGGAUCUACACAUAUUUCCCAUAAAUUGACGUUCCAUGGCCUGCAUACUCACCAGACAUGUUACUCCACGUGGGGUAUGUGUUACCUUUUGAAUAGUGAUACAGAACCACAUUGUACUGUGAUACUCAACCCCCAGUCUUUCCCGGGAGUUUUGUCGGUCUUGGGUUACGUGGGUAAUUGUUCUUGGUUUUUGUUCGGGAGUGUACCUUGUAACAGGAACGUUGUUCUACAACUUCAUAACGGCAUUGGCAAGUAUAGUUAUAAAAGCAUGCUUUAACUUGGUGCUGUUUAGACCCUGAUUUUCAUAGUCUCCGAGAUGGCUAGUGUGAGGAUUCUGUGUUAUGCACUAUAGCCCGUUACUAUGUGAUUGCAUGUUCUCGGCUGUUGGCUUGUGGCUGUGUGUUAUGCAACACAGCUGACUUGAGACAUUGUCAACAGUUUCAGGGCCAUGGGCCUUUCUCAUGAUGGAAAAAUAACAUGAACUGCAGUGAGUUGUGGGGGCACAUUCAGAACGUAGUGUUGCGAGAAACGGUCUCCUGUUAGAUAACAGGAGCCAGGUGUGUGAUAACUGUAUUGAGCAUGGGCGCAUAGAUAUUCUACUACUGACGGCUGAAGCGCCUAGGGGGCUGGGAUCAGCUCGGGCGCCAACGAUCAACGAUAGGUUGAGUGAGUUUAAACCACGCCCAGUCUCUGUCAGGAACAAGUCAGUUCUAUUUGCCCUGCGAGGUGUGACAGCGAGCCUGUAUAUACGAAAAUUGCAUUUACC
ensembl:lncRNA